rnacentral:rRNA from 1 species
UAAACUUGUUGAAGUUAAAAAGCUCGUAGUUGAAUUUCGGGAUCAUCAGGUUGGUCGUGCCUCUGGUAUGUACUGAUUUCGAUGGUUCCUCCUUCUUGUAGAACCAUAAUGCCAUUAAUUUGGUGUUGCGGGAAAACAGGACUGUUACUUUGAAAAAAUUAGAGUGUUUAAAGCAGGCAAUCGCUUGAAUACAUUAGCAUGGAAUAAUGAAAUAGGACGUUUGAUCCUAUUUUGUUGGUUUCUAGGAUUGACGUAAUGAUUAAUAGGG